rnacentral:rRNA from 1 species
AACCAGAAGGCGCAAUGAAAGUGAAGGCACGGUCGCCGUGCUGAGGUGAGAGCCGUCCCCGACGGCRCAUCAUCGACCGAUCCCAUCCGCUCCCUCGUGGUGCGGCGGGAUUCGAGUAAGAGUGUACCUGUUGCGACCCGAAAGAUGGUGAACUAUGCCUGAAUAGGGUGAAGCCAGAGGAAACUCUGGUGGAGGCCCGUAGCGAUUCUGACGUGCAAAUCGAUCGUCAAAUUUGGGUAUAGGGGCGAAAGACUAAUCGAACCAUCUAGUAGCUGGUUCCCUCCGAAGUUUCCCUCAGGAUAGCUGUAGCCCGAAGCAGUUUUAUCAGGUAAAGCGAAUGAUUAGAGGUAUCGGGGAAGAAACUUCCUCGACCUAUUCUCAAACUUUAAAUAGGUAAGAAGUCCGACUUGCUCAAUUUGAAGCCGGACACAGAAUGCUGGGUUACUAGUGGGCCAUUUUUGGUAAGCAGAACUGGCGAUGCGGGAUGAACCGAACGCCGAGUUAAGGUGCCAAAGUCGACGCUCAUCAGAUCCCACAAA